rnacentral:lncRNA from 1 species
GUCUGAAACAGUCUUUGCAAGCUUGGUUUGGGAAGUUCCAACACUGUAAUUUUAUCACUCUGUGUUUUAUCGGCAUUAUGCAUCAAAUUCAGUAUUUCAUGAGAAGAUCAAGCACAUUGAAAUUUAUUGUCAAUUUUGUGAAGUCGAGUGAUCAACUUGAAGAUUCCUCACCAAGCUCCUCAUCGGUCCUCGUGUUAAUUACAUUUGUAACAAGCUAGGUACAUGAAUUGUAUGCACUAGCUUGAGGGGGAGUGUUAGAAUAUGAAUAGGUUUAUACAAUCCUAUUAAAAUAGGAAUAGGUUUAUACAAUCCUAUUAAAAUAGGAAUAGGUUUAUACAAUCCUAUUAAAAUAGGAAUAGGUUUAUACAAUCCUAUAAGAAUAGGAAUAGGUUUAUACAAUCCUAUUAAAAUAGGAAUAGGUUUAUACAAUCCUAUUAGAAUAGGAAUAGGAAUAGGAAUAGAAAUAGCAAUAGGAAUACUAAAUAGUAUCCUACUUGGUAAAGGAUUGUAUUCUAGGGUCUAUAAAUAGGGUCUCAAUGUAAUAAUGUAGACACAACAACAAUUCAAUAAUAUUCUUUUCC